rnacentral:rRNA from 1 species
CAGCCGCCACGGUAAUACGUAGGUGGCAAGCGUUGUCCGGAAUUAUUGGGCGUAAAGCGCGCGCAGGUGGUUUAAUAAGUCUGAUGUGAAAGCCCACGGCUCAACCGUGGAGGGUCAUUGGAAACUGUUAAACUUGAGCGCAGGAGAGAAAAGUGGAAUUCCUAGUGUAGCGGUGAAAAGCGUAGAGAUUAGGAGGAACACCAGUGGCGAAGGCGGCUUUUUGGCCUGUAACUGACACUGAGGCGCGAAAGCGUGGGGAGCAAACAGGAUUAGAUACCCCUGUAGUCCCUGUCUCUUAUAA